rnacentral:rRNA from 1 species
CGCGUAGGUGGUAGUGCAAGUCUGAGGUGGAAUCCCAGGGCUUAACCCUGGAACUGCCUUGGAAACUGCAUUACUUGAGUCAGUGAGGGGAGGGUAGAAUUCCUGGUGUAGCGGUGAAAUGCGUAGAUAUCAGGAGGAAGGCCGGUGGCGAAGGCGGCCCUCUGGCGCUGAACUGACACUGAGGCGCGAAAGCGUGGGUAGCAAACAGGAUUAGAUACCCUGGUAGUCCACGCCCUAAACGGUGGGCACUAGGUGUAGGGCUCGUAAGGGUUCUGUGCCGAAGCGAAAGCAUUAAGUGCCCCGCCUGGGGAGUACGGCCGCAAGGUUGAA